rnacentral:rRNA from 1 species
GAUGAACGCUAGCGGCAGGCCUAACACAUGCAAGUCGAGGGAGGAGCUUUCGGGCUUCGACCGGCGUACGGGUGCGUAACGCGUAUACAAUCUGCCUUUCACAUAGGGAUAGCCCGAAGAAAUUUGGAUUAAUACCUAAUGGUAUAUAGGAGUGGCAUCACAUUUAUAUUAAAGCUGAGGCGGUGAAAGAUGAGUAUGCGUUCUAUUAGCUAGUUGGAGAGGUAACGGCUCCCCAAGGCGACGAUAGAUAGGGGUUCUGAGAGGGAUAUCCCCCACACUGGUACUGAGAUACGGACCAGACUCCUACGGGAGGCAGCAGUGAGGAAUAUUGGACAAUGGUCGGAAGACUGAUCCAGCCAUGGCGCGUGCAGGAAGACGGCCUUAUGGGUUGUAAACUGCUUUUGCAGGGGAAGAAUAAGGACUACGAGUAGUUUGAUGACGGUACUCUGCGAAUAAGCAUCGGCUAACUCCGUG